rnacentral:tRNA from 1 species
GCCCCCAUCGUCUAGCGGACUAGGACACAGCCCUUUCAAGGCUGCGACAGGGAUUCGAAUUCCCUUGGGGGCA